ACAUUAAAAUAAGCAAACCUCAAUCCAAAUCUAAAAUCAAAAUAAAAAAUCAAAAUCUCUCACUCCUCACAUCCAAAUCUCUAUCUAAUCACUUAUUCCUUCGCAUGUUUGCUUUAAUCUUGAUCUCACUGAAUUUCAAUCUCAAUCUGGCUUUUGUUUGAUCUUGCUCUCGAUAUCUCUCCGGUGAGGCUACAAUCUUUGAACUCGUCGCCGAUCUGCUCUCCUAAGUUAUCGCUGCUCCGCUGUCCUCCUCGUUGUAAGUGUCUCUGCUUACCGCUCGCAAUCGUUGUCGCCGUCGUCCUGCAGGGUUUCGAUUCACUUUUUUUGGGAGAGAUUUUCUAGAGCUUCUUACUCUGAAAAUAUUGGAAGAUGUGGUUUCAAUUCUUUAAAUAAAGUUCAAGGAAUUGUUUCUGUUGAGCACAAUGCGAUUGCUUCCAUUGAGCUUAAAGUCGCAAAGGGAGCAGAACAGUGACAAGAAGAGCCGUGUCACGGUGUACCUCAUUGUGUAUGAUCUUACUCCCAUAAACAAUUAUCUUUGUCCUUGGGAUUUUUCAUUAUGGUAUUGAAGGUUUGUCUAAUUCUCUUUUUUUUUAUGCUAGUUUUUAAUUUUUCAACUCCUUUAUGUGAUAUUUUGUUGUCUACUCUGCUUAUUAUGGAGCACUUUCUAGCAUUAGGUGCUAGAUUGAGGAUACAAUUUUAAACACCAUUGAAAUGUUGUGAUUUAAAAUGUCGUAUAUUGUUGAUUUUAA